GGUAUGGCUGUUCGCCAUUUAAAGUGGUACGCGAGCUGGGUUUAGAACGUCGUGAGACAGUUCGGUCCCUAUCUGCCGUGGGCGCUGGAGAACUGAGGGGGGCUGCUCCUAGUACGAGAGGACCGGAGUGGACGCAUCACUGGUGUUCGGGUUGUCAUGCCAAUGGCACUGCCCGGUAGCUAAAUGCGGAAGAGAUAAGUGCUGAAAGCAUCUAAGCACGAAACUUGCCCCGAGAUGAGUUCUCCCUGACUCCUUGAGAGUCCUGAAGGAACGUUGAAGACGACGACGUUGAUAGGCCGGGUGUGUAAGCGCAGCGAUGCGUUGAGCUAACCGGUACUAAUGAACCGUGAGGCUUAACCUUACAACGCCGAAGGUGUUU
rnacentral:rRNA from 1 species